rnacentral:rRNA from 1 species
GACGAACGCUGGCGGCGCGCUUAACACAUGCAAGUCGAACGGAAAAGCCCUGCUUUUGUGGGGUGCUCGAGUGGCGAACGGGUGAGUAACACGUGAGUAACCUGCCCCUGACUUUGGGAUAACUUCAGGAAACUGGGGCUAAUACCGGAUAGGAGCUCCUGCUGCAUGGUGGGGGUUGGAAAGCUUCGGCGGUUGGGGAUGGACUCGCGGCUUAUCAGCUUGUUGGUGGGUAGUGGCUUACCAAGGCUUUGACGGGUAGCCGGCCUGAGAGGGUGACCGGCCACAUUGGGACUGAGAUACGGCCCAGACUCCUACGGGAGGCAGCAGUGGGGAAUAUUGCACUAUGGGCGGAAGCCUGAUGCAGCAACGCCGCGUGCGGGAUGACGGCCUUCGGGUUGUAAACCGCUUUCGCCUGUGACGAAGCGUGAGUGACGGUAAUGGGUAAAGAAGCACCGGCUAACUACGUGCCAGCAGCCGCCGCAG